AAGCCCGGCUAAUUACUUCAGCAAGCCGCGUUAUAAGUAGGUGCGAGCGUAAUGGGGAUUACUGGGCUUAAGCGAGCGCAGACGGUAAAUAAGUCAGAGUGAAAUCCCCGAGCUCAACUUGGGACGUGCAUUUGAAACUGGGUAACUAGAGUGUGUCAGAGGGAGGUAGAAUUCCACGUGUAGCAGUGAAAUGCGUAGAGAUGUGGAGGGAUACCGAUGGCGAAGGCAGCCUCCUGGGAUAACACCGACGUUCAUGCUCGAAAGCGUGGGUAGCAAACAGGAUUAGAUACCCUGGUAGUCCACGCCCUAAACGAUGACAAUUAGCUGUUGGGGUACUAGAUGCCUUAGUAGCGAAGCUAACGCGUGAAAUUGUCCGCCUGGGGAGUACGGUCGCAAGACUAAAACUCAAAGGAAUUGACGGGGACCCGCACAAGCGGUGGAUGAUGUGGAUUAAUUCGAUGCAACGCGAAGAACCUUACCUGGUCUUGACAUGUACGGAAUCUCUUAGAGAUAGGAGAGUGCCUUCGGGAACCGUAACACAGGUGCUGCAUGGCUGUCGUCAGCUCGUGUCGUGAGAUGUUGGGUUAAGUCCCGCAACGAGCGCAACCCUUGUCAUUAGUUGCCAUCAUUAAGUUGGGCACUCUAAUGAGACUGCCGGUGACAAACCGGAGGAAGGUGGGGAUGACGUCAAGUCCUCAUGGCCCUUAUGACCAGGGCUUCACACGUCAUACAAUGGUCGGUACAGAGGGUAGCGAAGCCGCGAGGUGAAGCCAAUCUCAGAAAGCCGAUCGUAGUCCGGAUUGCACUCUGCAACUCGAGUGCAUGAAGUCGGAAUCGCUAGUAAUCGCAGGUCAGCAUACUGCGGUGAAUACGUUCCCGGGUCUUGUACACACCGCCCGUCACACCAUGGGAGUGGGGGAUACCAGAAUUGGGUAGACUAACCGCAAGGAGGUCGCUUAACACGGUAUGCUUCAUGACUGGGGUGAAGUCGUAACAAGGUAA
rnacentral:rRNA from 1 species